rnacentral:rRNA from 1 species
UGGACCUCGGAUCAGGU